UAUAACGUACGUAUGUUUGAAAUGUG
rnacentral:piRNA from 2 species